UUAAUCCAAAAUGUUAUUUGAAAAGUAUUUAACUGAUUAUUUUAGUCCAAAACAGAGCAUUGUUUAUUGUAUGGUGAAUGUUGACUCAUCAUCUUCUAAUUUUAUUGGAAGUGGAAAUGGCACCUAGUCUCAAGUCUGACCUAUGACAUAAGCAAUUCAAUUCCCUAACAAACAAGACCAUGUGUCAAGACUCAAUAGAUAGAUUAUGAGAGUGGCAGAGCAGGUUUCUUUGUUUGGGUCCACUGAACACACAAAUCUUUCAAUUUUUUGUAGGUCACCGACUCUUAAGUUUAAUUUAAUAAAUCCUAAGAAUAACUAUUUCAGUAAUACAAUUAUUUUUGAAUUAUAUUAUUGAUCGUUAA
rnacentral:lncRNA from 1 species